UACGUAGGGUGCAAGCGUUGUCCGGAAUUAUUGGGCGUAAAGAGCUCGUAGGCGGUUUGUCGCGUCUGCCGUGAAAGUCCGGGGCUCAACUCCGGAUCUGCGGUGGGUACGGGCAGACUAGAGUGCAGUAGGGGAGACUGGAAUUCCUGGUGUAGCGGUGAAAUGCGCAGAUAUCAGGAGGAACACCAAUGGCGAAGGCAGCUCGCUGGGACGUGACUGACGCUGAGACGCGAAAGCGUGGGGAGCAAACAGG
rnacentral:rRNA from 1 species